rnacentral:rRNA from 1 species
AAACCAACAGGGAUUGCCCUAGUAACGGCGAGUGAAGCGGCAACAGCUCAAAUUUGAAAUCUGGCUUCGGCCCGAGUUGUAAUUUGCAGAGGAUGCUUCUGGCGCGGUGCCUUCCGAGUUCCCUGGAACGGGACGCCACAGAGGGUGAGAGCCCCGUAUGGUCGGACACCAAGCCUGUGUGAAGCUCCUUCGACGAGUCGAGUAGUUUGGGAAUGCUGCUCUAAAUGGGAGGUAAAUCUCUUCUAAAGCUAAAUACCGGCCAGAGACCGAUAGCGCACAAGUAGAGUGAUCGAAAGAUGAAAAGCACCUUGAAAAGGGGGUUAAAUAGUACGUGAAAUUGUUGAAAGGGAAGCACUUAUGACCAGACUUGGGCCGGGCGGCUCAUCAGGGGUUCUCCCCUGUGCACUCCGCCCGGCACAGGCCAGCAUCGGUUCUCGUGGGGGGAUAAGACCGUCAGGAACGUAGCACCCUCCGGGGUGUGUUAUAGCCUGGCGGACGAUACCCCCGUGGGGACCGAGGUCCGCGCUCCGCAAGGAUGCUGGCGUAAUGGUCAUCAGUGAC